rnacentral:lncRNA from 1 species
GGAGGUGUCAUGGCCGCACGGCGGUGCAGGAGGCCCUGCGCGCUUCCCCCCCUUUUGGCGGCGGCUCGCGGUGCCCCUCAAGGCGACUCGGCCUCGAAGGCUCAGCCCGGCGUGGGGGGCGGCAGCGAAUCCCAGUGUCUUGGCGGUUCCCUUAUACGAGAGGUGUAGGAAACCCGGUGCCUGCCGUAUUAAUUAAUGCGUGUGGUCAUUAAUCUUCAGUCCAAAGGGCUCCAAUCUUUCACUUUACAGAAUUGCAACGGUUGGGAGAGACCUCGAGAUCGUCAAGUCCAACCCCCUUACUAAAGCGGUUACCCUACAACAGGUCACACAGCCUCAUAAGGACAGAAACAAGAAUAUCUUUCAAGAGGCUGUGUGUUACAUUACUGUAUGGGAACUGCUGAGUCAUGGCCUGAACCACUGAUUGAUCACCUGUGAAAAGGACUGGAUCAGCCCUGGGAGCACAGGGUUUCCAAGAAGGCAAUGUAAAGGAUAUCCAACGUCAACAAGUGCUUUUGUUGCCAAUGCCUACUGCAGAGGAGGGUGAGGAGGCUGCCAAGAAGAGUUUCAGAAUGGAUGAAAGCCCUACACCAAACAAAGGUCUAAAGGCUGUGGUCGAGAGCAGGCAUGGACUGACCAACUAUCCACCAUUUUUGCCUCCAAAUAUUUUCCAAGUUUUAACCCUUCAUGAGAGGCUGUUCUUGUCUUGCUCAGGAAGGAUGGAGGUGUCCUUUGCCUUACAGCUGUAUGUUCUGGCUGCCACUGACUUGACUCAACUUCUUUCCUAUGAUGAUUCGUCUGAGACAAGCCUUGCCACAAAUUUACGUAACCUAUAAAAUCUGGGUUUUCUUUUCCAAGUUAAGAAAACUUGCACCCAGGUCUUGAGAAUGACCUAGUGUUACCUUUUCCAUCCAUUUUAUUCACAGGACAGUUGCAGGGAAUUUGCCUUUAUUUCCCUAUGAAGGGAUAAGAAGAGUAUCUGAACAUCAAAGAUACCAAUCUCUGUGGAAAAGAUAAUACAGAUUGCUUCCAGGUUACUUUUAAUCUACAGAACCAGAGGGAAGUAUACAAGCUCUUCCUUUUAUCAUCUAGACCACAGCCAGCAUUGCAAUAUGUUGGUCCUUCCUCACCAUUGCUUCUUUAUAAUUAAGAAAUGAAGAAGGAGCAAUGAACAGGAUUUUUAGUGGCAACUUUUAUUUUCUACAUGCAGCAUCUCAGUAACAGGAGGAAUGUCAUCUGAAUAUCUCAUCUAAGAGCUUCUGCUCUAAAGCCAGGCUCACUGCUUGUUUCUCUUCAUGUUACAAGUUUCAACUGUCAUAAAGCACAAGAUUUUAAAAACUGUUAUGAAAACGUGAGAUGGUGCUAAACACAGUGCUGAGCAGGUCGUCUUUCUACACUGCCUACAAUGGUGCCCCAAGCAACUUAAAUGCCA